rnacentral:rRNA from 1 species
ACGGUAACAGGGAGCUUGCUCCGCUGACGAGUGGCGAACGGGUGAGUAAUAUAUCGGAACGUACCCAAGAGUGGGGGAUAACGUAGCGAAAGUUACGCUAAUACCGCAUACGAUCUAAGGAUGAAAGUGGGGGCUCGCAAGACCUCAUGCUCCUGGAGCGGCCGAUAUCUGAUUAGCUAGUUGGUGAGGUAAAGGCUCACCAAGGCAACGAUCAGUAGCUGGUCUGAGAGGACGACCAGCCACACUGGGACUGAGACACGGCCCAGACUCCUACGGGAGGCAGCAGUGGGGAAUUUUGGACAAUGGGGGCAACCCUGAUCCAGCAAUGCCGCGUGAGUGAAGAAGGCCUUCGGGUUGUAAAGCUCUUUUGUCAGGGAAGAAACGGUUUCGGCUAAUAUCCGGAGCUAAUGACGGUACCUGAAGAAUAAGCACCGGCUAACUACGUGCCAGCAGCCGCGGUAAUACGUAGGGUGCAAGCGUUAAUCGGAAUUACUGGGCGUAAAGCGUGCGCAGGCGGUUUUAUAAGUCUGUCGUGAAAUCCCCGGGCUUAACCUGGGAAUGGCGAUGGAGACUGUAAGGCUAGAGUUUGGCAGAGGGGGGUAGAAUUCCACGUGUAGCAGUGAAAUGCGUAGAGAUGUGGAGGAACACCGAUGGCGAAGGCAGCCCCCUGGGUCAAAACUGACGCUCAUGCACGAAAGCGUGGGGAGCAAACAGGAUUAGAUACCUGGUAGUCCACGCCCUAAACGAUGUCUACUAGUUGUCGGGUCUUAAUUGACUUGGUAACGCAGCUAACGCGUGAAGUAGACCGCCUGGGGAGUACGGUCGCAAGAUUAAAACUCAAAGGAAUUGACGGGGACCCGCACAAGCGGUGGAUGAUGUGGAUUAAUUCGAUGCAACGCGAAAAACCUUACCUACCCUUGACAUGGCAGAAACCUCCGAGAGAUUGGAGGGUGCUCGAAAGAGAAUCUGCACACAGGUGCUGCAUGGCUGUCGUCAGCUCGUGUCGUGAGAUGUUGGGUUAAGUCCCGCAACGAGCGCAACCCUUGUCAUUAGUUGCUACGAAAGAGCACUCUAAUGAGACUGCCGGUGACAAACCGGAGGAAGGUGGGGAUGACGUCAAGUCCUCAUGGCCCUUAUGGGUAGGGCUUCACACGUCAUACAAUGGUACAUACAGAGGGCCGCCAACCCGCGAGGGGGAGCUAAUCCCAGAAAGUGUAUCGUAGUCCGGAUUGUAGUCUGCAACUCGACUGCAUGAAGUUGGAAUCGCUAGUAAUCGCGGAUCAGCAUGUCGCGGUGAAUACGUUCCCGGGUCUUGUACACACCGCCCGUCACACCAUGGGAGCGGGUUUUACCAGAAGUAGGUAGCUUAACCGUAAGGA